rnacentral:rRNA from 1 species
UCGAGCGGUAAGGCCCUUCGGGGUACACGAGCGGCGAACGGGUGAGUAACACGUGAGCAACCUACCCUCAACUUCGGGAUAAGCCUCGGAAACGGGGUCUAAUACCGGAUAUCACUCUUGGUUUCAUGACCGGGGGUUGAAAGUUCUGGCGGUUGGGGAUGGGCUCGCGGCCUAUCAGCUUGUUGGUGGGGUAAUGGCCUACCAAGGCGUCGACGGGUAGCCGGCCUGAGAGGGCGACCGGCCACACUGGGACUGAGACACGGCCCAGACUCCUACGGGAGGCAGCAGUGGGGAAUAUUGCGCAAUGGACGAAAGUCUGACGCAGCAACGCCGCGUGAGGGAUGACGGCCUUCGGGUUGUAAACCUCUUUCAGCAGGGACGAAGCGAGAGUGACGGUACCUGCAGAAGAAGGACCGGCCAACUACGUGCCAGCAGCCGCGGUAAUACGUAGGGUCCGAGCGUUGUCCGGAAUUAUUGGGCGUAAAGGGCUCGUAGGCGGUUCGUCACGUCGGGAGUGAAAACUCGGAGCUCAACUCCGAGCCUGCUUCCGAUACGGGCAGACUAGAGGUAGGCAGGGGAGAGCGGAACUCCUGGUGUAGCGGUGGAAUGCGCAGAUAUCAGGAAGAACACCGGUGGCGAAGGCGGCUCUCUGGGCCUUACCUGACGCUGAGGAGCGAAAGCGUGGGUAGCGAACAGGAU